UAGCCUCACUUCCCCCCAACGCCCCCAGGGCAACCCAGUCUCUCCAUUAGCUGCCCUACAAUAGGGCAGGGCACUGCCCCUUUAAAGCCCCAGAGGGCCAAGGAAGAAGCCUGAGCCCCAGGUGUAUCAUGGGAGACCUGGCCCUCUAUUCCAACCCUGCUUCCUCAAGGACAUGUUGGUGCAGACCGGACGGACAGGAUGGUCGGCACUCUCCCCAUGGGGGGCCUGGGGGACGCUUCAUCAGUCAACCAACGGUCACCUCCAUCCCCAGCAAGCCAUAGCGCAGCCCCGAACCGGACCACCGACCCCAUGGACAGCGGAGGACUGACCAGCAACCCAUCGGAUGCUAUGGACACUGAUUGCGCCGGCCCAUUUGUGGGGCAAUUGAGUGGCACUGGGCUGCUGUCCCCUGGCCACUGCUGCUGUAUCCCCUCCUUCCAGACCAUGCCAUUUUCUUUGGGGGUCAAGGGUUAAACACUGCAUCUUGGGUGCCAACUCAGUCCCUUGCAACUCCAGGAGGGGAUGGAGGGGUGUGUGUGUGUGUGUGUGUGUGUGAGCAAGGGCCGGAACCAGAGCAGGGUGAGAGGGGCCGCCCCUCUUUGGACCGGUAGAGGGUUAUGGAAACAGGGGUUUAGAGCUUUGGCCAGGUGCUCCAGUGAAGGACCUGAGAGUGGGUGUGAAGUCGCCCUGGGGCCCUUAAUUCUAUAGUCAGUGCGACUUCCUCUGGCCCAGGCCCUCCCGUUGGGAGCUAUCUGCCUAGCUCUGGCUUCAAGAGUACAGACUCCCUCUACCAUCCGAGGGGGGUACCCUUGGGGGAGGGGCAUACAGGGACAGAAGCAAUCAGGGGUGUGCCUAUGUAUAUGUGUGUGUGACUACCCUAUGUCCUCCAGCUCUCCUGGAUGAGCAGAAUGAGGAGGGGAGAGGACUAGCAGCACAUGCUACAGUGGGAAGAUGCAAAAUGGUUUUGCCCUCUCAUCCUCCCAACAGAAAUGGCAUGGUUUGGCCCCCUCCUCUCCUCCUCCCCUCUCUGUUCCCUUUGUGGCCUGGGCUCUGUAAGCCCAAAUGCAUCUGUAUGAAAUUAAAAUGGAUACUUCUUCCUUUUUCCCCAGUUCCUUGAUCCAGUGGCAGCUGCCUCUACUCCCCAAAAGGGUUAUAAUUUGGGGGUAUCUGCUGUUACUCAAAGCAAGAGGAUGUUACUGGCUUCUAAGUUAUAGAUUGACAACCUAGCACCCUCCUUCCUCCCUCCCUCUACAUUCUAUUCCUUCAGUCUCACCCAGUCAGAGUAAGGAGUCUGGAGACUUGGAAGUGCAAAAAGAGGGGGUGAUGUCACCCUCUCUUUCUCCUUUCCUCUUCCCUCGACACAGCCUGAGAGUCUUCAGAAGAAUGGGGCUCCCAUGGGUGGGGGAAUCUUAGAUUAUUUUUCCUUGCCCUCUCAGCUUUACCAGGCUGAGCUAGACCCAAAGGCAUGACCCUCUUAGGCCCAAGAGACAGAGAGCAGGCACCAGGGGUUGGAGAGGGGCAGUGGUUCAGCCUGGAGGUUGUCCCAGGUUCCACUACCUGGUCAAUCAGUGAAUGUCAUAUUGAAGAGAUCAAAGUGACUUGCAGUGUGACUCUAGUGGUGUCCUGUGAUCUCUCUGGGUCUCUGCUUUCCCCUCCUCCUCUUCUAAUAAUAAACACAAU